UACGUAGGGUGCGAGCGUUAAUCGGAAUUACUGGGCGUAAAGGGUGCGCAGGCGGCGUCGCAAGUCAGGCGUGAAAUCCCCGGGCUUAACCUGGGAACUGCACUUGAAACUACGAUGCUGGAGUAUGGCAGAGGGAGGUGGAAUUCCACGUGUAGCGGUGAAAUGCGUAGAGAUGUGGAGGAACACCGAUGGCGAAGGCAGCCUCCUGGGCCAAUACUGACGCUCAUGCGCGAAAGCGUGGGGAGCAAACAGG
rnacentral:rRNA from 1 species